rnacentral:tRNA from 1 species
CGGGUUGUGGCUCAGUGGUAGAGUGCACGCCCUGCACAUGUGAGGCACUGGGUUCAAACCUCAGCACCACAU